CAAUAGCGUAUAUUUAAGUUGUUGCAGUUAAAAAGCUCGUAGUUGGAUUUCGGGUGGGACGCAGCGGUCUCGCAUUGCGUUUGUACUGCUGCAGCCCUCCUUCUUGCCGGGGGCGGCCUCUCGGACUUCACUGUCUGGGGGUCAGAAUCGGCGAUGUUACUUUGAGUAAAUUAGAGUGUUCAAAGCAAGCUUACGCUCUGAAUAUAAUAGCAUGGGAUAACACGACAGGACUCUGGCCUAUCGUGUUGGUCUAUAGGACCAGAGUAAUGAUUAAGAGUGACAGUCGGGGGCAUUCGUAUUCCGUUGUCAGAGGUGAAAUUCUUGGAUUUACGGAAGACGAACAUCUGCGAAAGCAUUUGCCAAGGAUGUUUUCAUUGA
rnacentral:rRNA from 1 species